AUUCGCGCUUCCAAAUGGAAGAAUGAGCAGUUGACGUUUAUUUUUUUCCUAAAAUUAUGACUUUAGUCAUAAUAAUGCUAUUAAUUUUUUCUUCCGUAAUAAUUUUUUAAUGGUUUGGGGAUGGAUGGAUGGACAAUUCCAGAAGGUUGCAGGUGGGUAGAUGAUUCGAGAAGGUUGCGGAUGGAUGAAUCUUUGCAGGGACGCCUCAAGGUCGUUGGAAGAGCCGGCGUGGGAAUUGAUAAUGUGGAUCUCCAUGCCGCAACAGAGUACGGGUGUUUGGUGGUAAAUGCUCCCACUGCAAACACUGUAGCGGCUACAGAGCACGGCAUAGCACUUCUUGUCGCCAUGGCAAGGAACGUGCCGCAGGCCAGCGCUUCCAUGAAAGAGGGAGAUAGCAAAGAAUUGUGGUUGCAUAUGGGUACUUUCUGGGACGCAGGCCCUGCUGUAAAAGUCGCUUACAAGCGUAAUGAUACAUGGAAUCCUUUCAGUAUGGUGCUCAAAAUGGGAAUCGGUGAUUGGGGUUCUCCUUCAGGGCCUGCCUUGGCUCACUCCCUUAGUAAUUAUGCGACCCAGUAACCAACACAGGCAAAAAAAUAAAGCCAGACUGAAUGCAAUUCCAGGGCCCUAUCAAAUUCAGAGUAAAAACUCUUGAUAAACAAGCAAUGUGUUGUUCCUUAUACGUUACUGGGGGUUGUAGUCCGACAUUUGUGUGAAGGCCGAUCUACAACAGUGAAGCUUGGACCUGUGAAGGGCUUGUGGCUCAGAAGCAAAGUACCCUAUAGCGGUUACAGAAGGAAAAUGAAGGAUGUGCGUUCACUCAGAUGCAGAUGUACUCAAAUACAUUACUCAAACACAAUGCAAAGCACAGAUCGAGAAUGUACUGGAGAAUGCUCAUGACUACUCCAGAUUGUUCGAAAGUUAAAAAUUAAAUGAACUCUGCCAAAUUCCUUCAAUGGCAUUUAAUGCACAAAGAUUUUUUACAGAUUUGAAUUA